UGGCUGUGAUGACCUCUUAGGACACCUUUGGAUUCCACAUGAAAACAAACUAAUGACACAACUGAGCUGC
ensembl:snoRNA SNORD58 Small nucleolar RNA SNORD58